rnacentral:lncRNA from 1 species
UGUCCCCAGCCAUCAGCAUUAGGGUUUUAAAUCCUAAACUGAAUUUUCCUUUUAGUCAGCAUUAGGGUUUUAAACCCUAAACUGAACUUUUUUCAUUCAGCCAGCAUUAGGGUUUUAAAACCCUAAACUAAGCUUUUCCAUGCAAUCAGCAUUAGGGUUUUAAACCCUAAACUGAAUUUUCCUUUUAGUCAGCAUUAGGGUUUUAAACCCUAAACUGAACUUUUUCCAUUCAGCCAGCAUUAGGGUUUUAAACCCUAAACUGAGCUUUUCCAUGCAAUCAGCAUUAGGGUUUUAAACCCUAAACUGAAUUUUCCUUUUAGUCAGCAUUAGGAUUUUAAACCCUAAACUGAACUUUUCCAUUCAGCCAGCAUUACGGUUUUAAACCCUAAACUGAGCUUUUUCAUGCAAUCAGCAUUAGGGUUUUAAACCUAAACUAAAUUUUCCUUUUAGUCAGCAUUAGGGUUUUAAACCCUAAACUGAACUUUUUCCAUUCAGCCAGCAUUAGGGUUUUAAACCCUAAACUGAACUUUUUCCAUUUUAGUC